AACGAACGCUGGCGGCAUGCCUAACACAUGCAAGUCGAACGAGACCUUCGGGUCUAGUGGCGCACGGGUGCGUAACGCGUGGGAACCUGCCCUUAGGUUCGGAAUAACUCCCCGAAAGGGGUGCUAAUACCGGAUAAUGUCUUCGGACCAAAGAUUUAUCGCCUUUGGUUGGGCCCGCGUGGGAUUAGCUAGUUGGUAGGGUAAACGCCUACCAAGGCGACGAUCCAUAGCUGGUCUGAGAGGAUGAUCAGCCACACUGAGACUGAGACACGGCCCAGACUCCUACGGGAGGCAGCAGUGGGGAAUAUUGGACAAUGGGCGAAAGCCUGAUCCAGCAAUGCCGCGUGAGUGAUGAAGGCCUUAGGGUUGUAAAGCUCUUUUACCCGGGAUGAUAAUGACAGUACCGGGAGAAUAAGCUCCGGCUAACUCCGUG
rnacentral:rRNA from 1 species